rnacentral:rRNA from 1 species
UCAUUUAAAGAAAGCGUAAUAGCUCACUGGUCGAGUCGGCCUGCGCGGAAGAUGUAACGGGGCUAAACCAUGCACCGAAGCUGCGGCAGCGAACGUAUCACUUAAAGCGAUUCAGCGGGUUACGAUUGACGGAGCGAAGCGACGUCAAAGCGUAUACAAAGUCGAGUCGGUUUAAGGAUACGUUCGUUGGGUAGGGGAGCGUUCUGUAAGCCUGUGAAGGUGUGUCGUGAGGCAUGCUGGAGGUAUCAGAAGUGCGAAUGCUGACAUAAGUAACGAUAAAGCGGGUGAAAAGCCCGCUCGCCGGAAGACCAAGGGUUCCUGUCCAACGUUAAUCGGGGCAGGGUGAGUCGACCCCUAAGGCGAGGCCGAAAGGCGUAGUCGAUGGGAAACGGGUUAAUAUUCCCGUACUUGGUGUUACUGCGAAGGGGGGACGGAGAAGGCUAUGUUGGCCGGGCGACGGUUGUCCCGGUUUAAGCGUGUAGGUGUGUGUUCCAGGUAAAUCCGGUUCACUUUAACACUGAGGCGUGAUGACGAGGCACUACGGUGCUGAAGCAACAAAUGCCCUGCUUCCAGGAAAAGCCUCUAAGCAUCAGGUAACAUCAAAUCGUACCCCAAACCGACACAGGUGGUCAGGUAGAGAAUACCAAGGCGCUUGAGAGAACUCGGGUGAAGGAACUAGGCAAAAUGGUGCCGUAACUUCGGGAGAAGGCACGCUGACAUGUAGGUGAAGUGAUUUACUCAUGGAGCUGAAGUCAGUCGAAGAUACCAGCUGGCUGCAACUGUUUAUUAAAAACACAGCACUGUGCAAACACGAAAGUGGACGUAUACGGUGUGACGCCUGCCCGGUGCCGGAAGGUUAAUUGAUGGGGUCAGCGCAAGCGAAGCUCCUGAUCGAAGCCCCGGUAAACGGCGGCCGUAACUAUAACGGUCCUAAGGUAGCGAAAUUCCUUGUCGGGUAAGUUCCGACCUGCACGAAUGGCGUAAUGAUGGCCAGGCUGUCUCCACCCGAGACUCAGUGAAAUUGAACUCGCUGUGAAGAUGCAGUGUACCCGCGGCAAGACGGAAAGACCCCGUGAACCUUUACUAUAGCUUGACACUGAACAUUGAGCCUUGAUGUGUAGGAUAGGUGGGAGGCUUUGAAGCGUGGACGCCAGUCUGCGUGGAGCCGACCUUGAAAUACCACCCUUUAAUGUUUGAUGUUCUAACGUGGACCCGUAAUCCGGGUUGCGGACAGUGUCUGGUGGGUAGUUUGACUGGGGCGGUCUCCUCCUAAAGAGUAACGGAGGAGCACGAAGGUUGGCUAAUCCUGGUCGGACAUCAGGAGGUUAGUGCAAUGGCAUAAGCCAGCUUGACUGCGAGCGUGACGGCGCGAGCAGGUGCGAAAGCAGGUCAUAGUGAUCCGGUGGUUCUGAAUGGAAGGGCCAUCGCUCAACGGAUAAAAGGUACUCCGGGGAUAACAGGCUGAUACCGCCCAAGAGUUCAUAUCGACGGCGGUGUUUGGCACCUCGAUGUCGGCUCAUCACAUCCUGGGGCUGAAGUAGGUCCCAAGGGUAUGGCUGUUCGCCAUUUAAAGUGGUACGCGAGCUGGGUUUAGAACGUCGUGAGACAGUUCGGUCCCUAUCUGCCGUGGGCGCUGGAGAACUGAGGGGGGCUGCUCCUAGUACGAGAGGACCGGAGUGGACGCAUCACUGGUGUUCGGGUUGUCAUGCCAAUGGCACUGCCCGGUAGCUAAAUGCGGAAGAGAUAAGUGCUGAAAGCAUCUAAGCACGAAACUUGCCCCGAGAUGAGUUCU